CAGGCUGCCAGCGUGGAAAACCGGCCACGUGCAGGUCUGGGGCUGGGCACACACAGGGUCACACCCAGGAAGGGAUAAGCUAUGCAUUUCUAUUGAUAGAGUGGGCAGGGACCACAGGAAUUUAGAAAAUAUUAGGGCCAAGUUUACUGGGGAAAAUGUACAGGCCAGCAGAUAGCAUGGAAAAGUCCCCUCCCUGAGGAAGGGAAGCAUCUCAGAGGAGGUAAGAGACUGCUCCCAGGGCUGUGGUUAGAGCCUCCCCAACCGCAGCACGAUGCCCUUUGUCCCAUCUUCAGCAGGAGGGGCUGCUCUCCAUGGAGAUGAGGCUGACAGGGUCAGCGGAGUAGCCUGUGACAGGCAGGUUUUAAUAAGUUCAUUUUCAGCCAACCCCUGAAAUGGGUUAUUUUUGUUCCAUGGGAAUGCUCUACAUCUUCUGAAAGAUGGCACCUGGGACCCAGCCCAUGGCCUUCCUGGGGUAGGAUGUGCUGGAGAAGGAUUCUGUGGACCUGACAGAGAAGACAGAAGCCAGAGAGUAGACACCCGGAAAGAAAGAGGGAAAAGUGUGGUGGGAAGGACAGAGGGGACCCGAAGUUCCCCACGCCAGGGAAAUGACAGGGGGUUGCCAGUCUGUUUCUGAUGGUUGAGCAGUCAGGGGCCCAGAGACGCAGGAAACCCAAAAUCCUUGGUCCACCACGGGGCUGUCCUCAGGGUCUGGAGAGCAGGCCCCAUACUCCAGGCCCCCAUCCUCCAGGCCCUCGUCCCCCAGGCUCCAUCCUCCAGGCCCCCAUUCUCCAGGGCUCCAUCCUCUAGGCCCCUGUCCUCCAGGCCCCCAUCCUCUAGGCCCUCAUCCUCCAGGCUCCAUCCUCCAGGCUCCAUCCUCCAGGUUUCAUCCUUCAGGCCAUCAUCCUCCAGGCCCCCGUCCUCCAGGCCCCCAUCCUCCAGGCCCCAUCCUCCAGGCCCCCAUCUUUCAGGCCCCUGUCCUCCAGGCUCUUGUCCUCCAGGCCCUCAUCCUCCAGGCCCCUGCUCCUCCAGACCCUCAUCCUCCAGACCCUCAUCCUCCAGGCCCCCAUCUUUCAGGCCCCUGUCCUCCAGGCCCUCUUCCUCCAGACCCUCGUCCUCCAGGCCCCUGUUCCUCCAGACCCUCGUCCUCCAGACCCUCAUUCUCCAGGCCCCCGUCCUCCAGGCUCCAUCCUCCAGGGCUCCUCUGGGUCCGGGUCAAGUACCUCCAGGCUCUCUGCUGACUGUUCACCACUGGGCAACCACAGGGACUCGAUCCAUGAAAACUCUGGCAAGGUCAGUUUCCUUGUUCUACAUCCCUGUCACUUUAGUCACCAUCAUGAUAUAAGUGACUGAGUCAUUGUUUUCUCUCAUAUUCCCACCCACCUCUCCUCUCUGCUUCCUCCCCAUCAACUCGACUUCCCACCGCUCACUGCAGCCCCUUCAGGAUUCCUGCUGCGACCACCUGACCCAUGCAAAAGAGACCACUUCUCAGCCUCUCUCACUCUCCUGGCCCUGGCGGAAGCCUGUGUUGUCAUAGGCAUGCUUCCCUGGAAUCCUGCUCAGGCCCCCACGCAGGGACACUGAGUGCCCACAGAGUUGGGAAACCAUUACACGAGAUGGGACGUCUGCAAUAGAGUGGCAUCGCUAGUUGAAAGUGGAGCUGUUCACAACCUCCACAACUGUACUUGGUGGCCACGUCCCCAUCACAUGGGCUCAGACUGGGGGCUGGACAUUGACUUUGAGCCCCAAGUCUUCACCCUCAUGCAAAAACCAUCCUCCUUGGAGAUGCAGGCUGGGAAGGGCGCCAUGUCCGGAGUCCCUGCCCUGCUGUCAUCUGCCGACCUUUGUGCAGCCUGUCCCUUUCGUUAAGAAUUUCAGCACUGAGUUCACUGUGUUCCUUGUCAUGCUAAGACUUGGCCACAUCCCAGCCAUCUUCAACAUGGCGGUCGAUGUUUCAUCAAAAUUCACAGUCGCUCAGAUUUUAUUUUUCCUCAUCUCUAGGAACUUCCAUCUCCACUCCACUUCUGCCACUUCUGCCACCCUCCCAUGACCACACUCAGAACUUGAGCUCCACCUCUGAAAGAGGCAGAAUUGCCUUAUCUCACACAGUGGUGACAGCACUCUGUAAUAAUCUGCAUGGGCCAGGGCUCCUUGGUUGCAGGUAACAGAUACCACUGUUACGGCCCAACUCUGUUCUUCUAUGUUGAAGCCGGAACCCCCAGCGCCUCAGAAUGGGAUCACAUCUGGAGAAGGCGCCUUUAAAGAGAGUGCAAGUUAGGUAAGAAAGAACGGAUGGUGGACAGCCAGGAAACAGUCAGCUACGAGAUGUUGUGUGGAAAGCCCACCUUUCUGACACUGGAGAACUGUGGGAAGAACGGACAGGCCACACACCAGCUGGGCUCUGAGAACCCCCAGCUUCUGCUCCACAGUGAGCCAGCAGGAAUCCAAAGGGCAUGGGCAGACCCCAGGGGCUCCUUCACCCCACCCAGGGGUAGAGAGGGCAAGACGGAGUAGAGCGAGGUAAGAGACUGAGCAAUGCGUUCCCAAAGACUGUGACUGACAGAAGCUGUGCAAAUUAUUAUGACAAACUGAAUUUUAAGAGGAAUUGGACUAAAUAAAGUUAGCUCAUUUUUACCUGUAAUUAGCAGACAGAGAGUGUAAGAUCAGACAUACCAUAGAUGGAAAAGAAAAGCUAAAACUUCCUUGCACAUCUGAGAGACAUUCUGCUACAGGUUUCAUCUCCUACGCCAAUUUCUAUUUGGGAAAGCAAAUAAACGGAAAGCUAACUUGUGUCACUUGGUCGCUGGGGCAUCCGCAGUGAGUAGUUAAGAAAUGCCAGGGGAGUCGGUGUCCAUUUUCAUGCCUGGACAAGAGUGCGUCUUGGACUUGCGUCCUGCUGCACACCCCACCGUCCCGCUGCACACCCCACCGUCCUACUGCACACCCCACUGUCCUACUGUACACCCCACCGUCCUACUGCACACCCCACUGUCCUACUGCACACCCCACUGUCCUACUGUACACCCCACCAUCCCUGCUUUCUGCACUCAGCUGCCCACUUGUAUCCCAGCUCAGGAAGCCCAGAAG
rnacentral:lncRNA from 1 species